ACUUUGGAUGUGAGGCUUGAGGCAGAGUGGUAGAAAAGGCUGGUGGGAGAGCUCAGAACUGUGUAGUGAAGUGUGUGUGGCCUACUUUGGGGGGCCUUGGCCGCUCCCUAAUCUUGCAGCCAGCACCAGCUGCACCCGCACGUCCCAGGCUUUCUCUGUGCUACCACACGGGGUGUGGGUUAUUCCUGUCGGAGACCCCACACUGCUUCUAAAUGAGCAGCUUGAGGAGAGGUUCAAACCGCGAGUCUAAUUCCAGGAAGUGAUAGCAACAGAAAGGCAACCCAGUCAGCCUCGCCCAGGGCCAGGUUGGGGAGAGACCCAAGGGAGUUGGAGGAAAAAGAAUUUAUUUCAUCGGCUAUUAGAGCCAAGACCCAACUUCAGCAGAGGAGGUGAGACAGAGAGAAGAGAAUGGCCGUGUACUCCUUCAGCCCGUUUGUGAGUCUGGAUGUGGUCCACACUAAUGGAUGAAAAGCACUUCGUUAGGAUAAGAAAGUUCUGGCAUUAGAUCAGACUGAACAUUUUAAUACCGGAAGGUAAUCAGAGAACCAAGAGUAGAUAGAAAGAUUUUAAAGAGCAUUUUAUGGAAGCCAGAGAGAUGACUUCAGAUGGUAAAGUGCCUGUCACACAAACAAGAGGACCCGAAUUCAGAUCUCCAGCAUCCAGAUGAAAAGCCAAGUGUGGCACUAUGUAUUUGUGGUCCUGGCACUGGAGAGACAAACAGAUCCCCGGGGCUUGUUGAACCCCAACAUCAAUCUAGCCAAGCAUUUAAGUUCUGGGUUCAAUGAGAGAGUCUGGCUCAAAAAAAUAAGGCAGAGAGAGAUAGAAAACAGUUGACGUUUACCCUUGGCCUCCACAUAUGUGUACCUGUACACACACAUGUGCACUUAUAUGCAUGUACAUGUAUGCACACAUACACAAAGGACUGUCAUAAGAUAGAACAAUUGCUUUCUGCUUGAACCCUCUCAGUCCAUCUUGUUAAAUACCUUAGUUACAGAAGAAUAUUCUGAUGAGUUAGGGGAGGAUCGACUGCCAGAAGGAAAUGGCCAUAGCUGUGCUUUAAAAAUUAGACAAUAAGGCGAUGGGGACUGAGGAUAUUGCUCAUGUAAAUCUGGCAGGAGUUUUAAUGACUGCUCAGAUGAGGAAGGGAAUAGAGUGGAUGACUCAUGUGAGCUUUUAAAGUCUUGAGCUAGAGUCUCUGGGAGAUGGGGACUUGAUGGAUAGCAAUGCCACUUGCACAGCUAAAUGUGACCACACACUUGGGUCAAUGAUACUGAUUUAUUUUUUUUUGAGUUCUUCAGUCGAGCAUCUUCUGAGCCAAUUUAUGAGUCAUAUAAAAGAAUUGAUCUCAUUGCUUUUCAUUUAUGCAAUGUCUUCAAUAUAAUCCAUCAUUUAGCAAGCUCUGGUUGAAGAUCCCAUAUACGUUGUAUGUUCUGCCAGUCACCAUAGGGAAAGGUCAGCAGGACACAGGAUCUGUUCUCAAAAGGUCUCAGUCUACCUGUUCUACCUGUUUCAGUGAAAUCAUUGGGGUACCCCAGUUUCUGUGGCCUGAGCCCUCCUAAGUCCGUCAUUAUUCUUCUUAUAGAAAGGAUAGAGCCUUUUGUACAUUGGGUGAAUCACCAUCAUAAGUCCAUGAUGUCAUUGUGUCCAAAUUGUCCAAGUUCUGUUGGGCAGAAUUUAAGCUGUUAUGACAUUAUCUAGAAUUUUUUUUUAUCUAGAAAUUUGGUCUUUGUCAAAACUGUACUUUCUAAAUGUAAGCUGGCCUUCAAACCCAACUUAAAAAGCAUAGAAAAAGAGAAGGAAGGAAGAAUGAAUGAAUGC